rnacentral:rRNA from 1 species
AGUGAACGCUGGCGGUAGGCCUAACACAUGCAAGUCGAACGGCAGCACAGUAAGAGCUUGCUCUUACGGGUGGCGAGUGGCGGACGGGCGAGGAAUACAUCGGAAUCUACUUUUUCGUGGGGGAUAACGUAGGGAAACUUACGCUAAUACCGCAUACGACCUACGGGUGAAAGCAGGGGAUCUUCGGACCUUGCGCGAUUGAAUGAGCCGAUGUCGGAUUAGCUAGUUGGCGGGGUAAAGGCCCACCAAGGCGACGAUCCGUAGCUGGUCUGAGAGGAUGAUCAGCCACACUGGAACUAAGACACGGUCCAGACUCCUACGGGAGGCAGCAGUGGGGAAUAUUGGACAAUGGGCGCAAGCCUGAUCCAGCCAUACCGCGUGGGUGAAGAAGGCCUUCGGGUUGUAAAGCCCUUUUGUUGGGAAAGAAAAGCAGCAGGUUAAUACCCCGCUGUUCUGACGGUACCCAAAGAAUAAGCACCGGCUAACUUCGUG